UGGCAAUAUCUCAUUGAAACACUAGUUCCUGUACAAUCACUGAAGUUAAACAAUGUCAAGCUCGGUUAGUACUUAGAUGGAUAACCGCUUGGAAAUACCAGGUACUGUAAG